rnacentral:tRNA from 1 species
GGAUAAUUUUGCGAUUGAUGGGGUCAUUUAAGUUUAUGUUAAGGGCCCAUAGCUCAGGCGGUUAGAGUGCACCCCUGAUAAGGGUGAGGUCGGUAGUUCGAAUCUACCUGGGCCCACCAUUCAAUCAGGCAAGGGGCCGUAGCUCAGCUGGGAGAGCGCCUGCUUUGCAAGCAGGAUGUCAGCGGUUCGAUCCCGCUCGGCUCCACCAAUUGCGAAUUUAUAGUUUUUUUGUUCUAGGGAUUUUUUUUUAGAGCGAUAGUUUUUUGAAAAUUGAAUAGAAGGUAGAUUUUUUUGUAUUUUUUAUAUUGGCAUUGUAUGCGA